AUGCGGAUUGUAGUUGAUGAAGACAUAGCCGCGCGCCUGAUCAAUCGUGUGAAACAGCGGGUUCCAGUCAAACAAGACCAGCAUCUUGUGGGGCAAGUUAUUGGCAAGGAACAUCUUGCCCGACGCGAUCAUAUUGGCCCGC
rnacentral:ncRNA from 1 species